UGCGUAGGCGGUUUGUCGCGUCUGCUGUGAAAUCCUCAGGCUCAACUUGGGGCAUGCAGUGGGUACGGGCAGACUAGAGUGCGGUAGGGGAGACUGGAAUUCCUGGUGUAGCGGUGGAAUGCGCAGAUAUCAGGAGGAACACCGAUGGCGAAGGCAGGUCUCUGGGCCGUUACUGACGCUGAGGAGCGAAAGCAUGGGAGCGAACA
rnacentral:rRNA from 1 species